ACAUAGCCACGGUUAUAGCCACUAUUGUUUCAGUAGCUAUAUUAUUAGUCACUGUAUAGCUACUUUUUUGUCAUGGCAGUGUACAAACCCUAAUUCAAACCUCCAAUUCUAUACCCUAAACCAUAAAUUUAAACAUACAUAUAAAACUAUAUAUCCAGUUUUUUCAAUCAUAUAAUUUAAAUCACAAACUCUAAUAUAUUUAAGCUACAAAUAAAUUUCAAUGUUAAACUCUAAAUUUUAAUAAUAAACUCUACAACAGCAAAUACAUUAUAUCCAAAUCCUAUAUCAUACAUUAAACCAUUAACCGUUGAAUCUAAACCCAAACUUUAUAUACUAUAAACUCCAAAACAUUUAUACUUUCCAUUAUAUAAAUUUAACAUUGUAAAUUAUAUAUAAUUUUUCAUAGUCCAACUCUUAAAUAUAACCAUAUAUCUUUUAAACUCUAAACCUAAAACCUUAUAUAUUUCAAAUUUCCUAACACAUACAUACUUUCAAUUAUUUAACUUUGACAUUUAUAAAUGUAAUCAUAUUCUUCAAACUCCAAACUUUAAACUUAACCAUAUAUUAAUUAAUUAACUCUAAACUCCAAGUUUUUUCUUUUUGAAACACAAACUCCAAACUUUAUAUUUUCCAAAUUUUAUAAACAAUUUUUUAAAAAAGAUUUAAACCUCAAUUUUUAUUAUAAACUAAAUCACCAACUAUUAAUUAUUAUAUAAUCUUUAACACUUAAAUUUUGUAAUCCUUAAACUUUAAUCUCUAACACUUCAUAACACUCUAUAUAAAACUAAAACAAAUGUAAAUAACAAUCUCCGCCCUAGUUUCUUAUUGGUGAAAAACAAGAGUGUUCGGAUAGCAAAUCUAACCAUUGGUUACAAUUAAUCGGUGGUCUAGAUUGAUUCUUUUUGUGUUUCUUUGUCAUUGGCCAGACAGAUCUAGCACCACACAAUUCAAUCCUCUCUUUCAGGUCUCCUUCCCCUCUUCUUUCACGUUUCUUCCCCUCCUCUUGCACACAAAUUAACUUGCGGUUAAGGGUGAUUAUGAUGAUAAUGAAGGUCGCAGAAGAAGAGAGUCUCCGUGGAGGGUGAUGAUGAUGGUCGCAGAAGAAGUGACUCGAUGUGAAGGGUUACUCGCCGUGAAUGGUGACUCUGGUCUUAAGCUCUUCGUCGUAACCGAUUUCAUCAACAAAUCAACACGAAUGAAGACGACCGCUACGAAUGGAGAAGGGUGAGAAGAUAGAUGGCGAGGAGGACACGAGACGGCGACAGAGUGCGGUGGAGGAGGCAGAAGAUCUCCUGGUGGUUUGGUUGGUGGUGGAGUGGCACGACUAUCACCGGAGACGCGGAUGGGUGGGCUAUCACCGGAGGAAUGGUGCGGUAGUGCGUGCUGUCGUGGUCCGGUGGUGCUGAGCAAGAAGAAGAAGAGAAAGGCGGAGAAGACAAGAAUCCGGAGACACCAUCGGAGGUGGUCAGACGAGGACGUCAGGAUUUGCCGGAUUUAUUGUAUUUUAUAUAUAUUGUUUGUAUUUUAUUAUAUAUUAUUAAAUGUCCAUUUCAUUUUUUA